UGUUAAUAUUAAUUAACCAGUCGGAUUUUACUGAACUAUUGAACUCUUAAACCUAAUAAAGGAACGAUUUUCUUCACGUGAUGGGAUGUUCUUUGUUAUGUGACUUGCAUCCGCUUUCUGUCGAGAUUAGAGGGGAUAUGUGUUUGAAUAAGGUUUUAUCGUUAUGGAAUUAUCAUAUUUAUUUACCUCAGAUAUAUGUGGGAGUGUCGGCACAGCAAUGGUAAGAUGUGUUCUUCUAUGUCCUCUGUACAGACUUUUUUCGAAAUACGUUGCCUGGAAAUUCGAAAUUUUGUUUUUUCGUGGAAGUAACGUGUACAACAAAUGGAAAAUAUAGCUGCAAGAUCAAACAGUUUUAAAUAAACUUUUAAUUAGGUGUUACAA